rnacentral:rRNA from 1 species
GAUGAACGCUGGCGGCGUGCCUAAUACAUGCAAGUCGAGCGAACAGAUGAGGAGCUUGCUCCUCUGACGUUAGCGGCGGACGGGUGAGUAACACGUGGAUAACCUACCUAUAAGACUGGGAUAACUUCGGGAAACCGGAGCUAAUACCGGAUAAUAUAUUGAACCGCAUGGUUCAAUAGUGAAAGACGGUUUUGCUGUCACUUAUAGAUGGAUCCGCGCCGCAUUAGCUAGUUGGUAAGGUAACGGCUUACCAAGGCAACGAUGCGUAGCCGACCUGGGAGGGUGAUCGGCCACACUGGAACUGGGACACGGUCCAGACUCCUACGGGAGGCAGCAGUAGGGAAUCUUCCGCAAUGGGCGAAAGCCUGACGGAGCAACGCCGCGUGAGUGAUGAAGGUCUUCGGAUCGUAAAACUCUGUUAUUAGGGAAGAACAAAUGUGUAAGUAACUAUGCACGUCUUGACGGUACCUAAUCAGAAAGCCACGGCUAACUACGUG